rnacentral:lncRNA from 1 species
CCCUUCUCCCCUCUCCCCUCUCCCUCUCGGUCUCCCUCUCCCUCUCUUUCCACGGUCUCCCUCUGAUGCCGAGCCGAAGCUGGACUGUACUGCUGCCAUCUCGGCUCACUGCAACCUCCCUGCCUGAUUCUCCUGCCUCAGCCUGCCGAGUGCCUGCGGUUGCAGGCGCACGCCACCACGCCUGACUGGUUUUCGUACUUUUUUGGUGGAGACGGGGUUUCGCUGUGUUGGCAGGGCUGGUCUCCAGCUCCUAACCGCUAGUGAUCCGCCAGCCUCGGCCUCCCGAGGUGCCGGGAUUGCAGACAGAGUCUGGUUCACUCAGUGCUCAAUGGUGCCCAGGCUGGAGUGCAAUGGUGUGAUCUCAGCUCGCUACAACCUCCAUCUCCCAGCCGCCUGCCUUGGCCUCCCGAAGUGCCGAGAUUGCAGCCUCUGCCCGGCCGCCACCCCGUCUAGGAAGUGAGGAGCGUCUCUGCCUGGCCGCCCAUCGUCUGGGACGUGAGGAGCCCCUCUGCCUGGCUGCCCAGUCUGGAAAGUGAGGAGCGUCUCUGCCCGGCCGCCAUCCCAUCUAGGAAGUGAGGAGCGCCUCUUCCCGGCAGCCAUCCCAUCUGGGAAGUGAGGAGCGUCUCUGCCCGGCCGCCCAUCGUCUGAGAUGUGGGGAGCGCCUCUGCCCCGCCGCCCCGUCUGGGAUGUGAGGAGCGCCUCUGCCCGGCUGCG